AUGAAGAGGGCAUAUGUCUUCAUAAUCAAACUGGAUGAUGUGCCCCAGCCCCAGCCCCAGCAAGACCAGCCCCUGCCCCUAGACCAGCUAAUCCCACAAGUCCAGCCCACCCCAACAGACCAGCAAAUUAUUACACUUGAACUAUUUACGAUCGACUCUCAGGCUCAGCAGCAUGUGGAGCCUCUACCACCCAGGAAAAGACAAACCCCACUAUCCACCCCGGGCCUACCAUCCACCCCAGGCCAAGGCAAACGAGCCCCACCAUCCAUCCAACCUCAACUAAAGAAAAGACAAACCACAGGUACAGGAGCCACACAAGCCCCACCCGCUACCCUGGCCAAAAAGAAGAAAACAAAAAGAUGCAAAUGCAGUCAACAGACAAUUUAUCCAUACGAUAAAA
ensembl:lncRNA